UACGAAGGUGGCGAGCGUUGUUCGGAUUUACUGGGCGUACAGGGUCCGUAGGCGGUUCGGUAAGCCCUUUGUGAAAUCUCCCAGCUUAACUGGGAAACGGCGGAGGGGACUGCCGGGCUAGAGGACGGGAGAGGAGCGCGGAAUUCCCGGUGUAGCGGUGAAAUGCGUAGAGAUCGGGAGGAAGGCCGGUGGCGAAGGCGGCGCUCUGGAACGUACCUGACGCUGAGGUGCGAAAGCGUGGGGAGCAAACAGG
rnacentral:misc_RNA from 1 species